rnacentral:rRNA from 1 species
UACAGAGGGUGCGAGCGUUGUUCGGAAUUAUUGGGCGUAAAGGGCGCGUAGGCGGCGCGGUAAGUCACCUGUGAAAUCUCCUGGCUCAACUGGGAGCUUGCAGGCGAAACUGCCGUGCUGGAGUAUGGGAGAGGUGCGUGGAAUUCCCGGUGUAGCGGUGAAAUGCGUAGAUAUCGGGAAGAACACCCGUGGCGAAGGCGGUUCUCUGGGACGGUACUGACGCUGAGACGCGAAAGCGUGGGGAGCGAACAGG